rnacentral:rRNA from 1 species
GUAGGUGGCAAGCGUUGUCCGGAAUUAUUGGGCGUAAAGCGCGCGCAGGCGGUUCUUUAAGUCUGAUGUGAAAGCCCACGGCUCAACCGUGGAGGGUCAUUGGAAACUGGAGAACUUGGGUACAGAAGAGGAAAGCGGAAUUCCACGUGUAGCGGUGAAAUGCGUAGAGGUGUGGAGGAACACCAGUGGCGAAGGCGGCUUUCUGGUCUGUAACUGACGCUGAGGCGCGAAAGCGUGGGGAGCAAACAGGAUUAGAUACCCUGGUAGUCCACGCCGUAAACGAUGAGUGCUAAGUGUUAGGGGGUUUCCCGCCCCCCUUAGUGCUGCAGCUAACGCAUUAAGCACUCCGCCUGGGGAGUACGGCCGCAAGGCUG